rnacentral:lncRNA from 1 species
CCAACUCUUUUUUUUUUUUUUUUUUUUUUUUUUUACUAUUUCUUAGGACUGUAAAACUUUAUUUAUGAGUAUCUUCAUGACCAAUUAAAAAUCUUGAGAAGUCCUUGAUCUUUAGGAUUCACACUUUGAUCCCAAAGCAUCCAUAAGUAUAGACAGCGCAACGAGCUUUUCUUUUAAAAAGAUCUCAUUGAAAUGGUAAAGGCUGAUGGCCACAGACAUUGGUCCCCUCCUCAGAGGCAGUGACACCCUCCUGCAUCCCAGGGUCAGUCAGGGCUGUGAGGUUACCCCAUCAUCCAGAAUUUGUAGCUUAAUUCCUACCCUGACCGGGAACAGCUGUAGUAAACUAUCCCCAGGUCACACUUAGGUAUUCAAGUUCAGGCGCCAGUGAACGCUUCUGUCCCGCCCAUACAGUGUCAACUGUUCUCCUCUCUCCUUUUCAUCACAAAGUCAAUGGAAAAGCUUCUUUGAAUGUAACAUGGUACUGAGAUGCAGCCAGUGAAAUCUAACUGCAGGGGAUCGUACGUGGUUGAAUCUUUAGUGAGAAUAGCUAGCGUGUAUAUUCACAAAUCUUGAUGCUACAUUGAGUCUGAAUACAAAGGAACUCUAAAUUGUAUUGUUCAAUGAAGGAGAUGGGACAUGAGUAUCCCACAUAGGGGAUGAACAUCCUAGAAAGGGGCUUUCCAACUUUCCUAAUGGUCCCCACAGGUCCCCAUUUUUAUUUUUAAAAGUCAGAUGACUAAUUUGUAUCUGAGUGUCUAAGAGAAUCUGAUAUUCCUUAAACUCACAAAUGUCCUAAUAUUGUCGAAAGCAUCACCAACACGAAUAACAUGUAGGCGAUUUAACAUUAUGUGUACAUUACACAGUAAUCUGAGUGUAAGACGGAAUGAAUGUUGAAGGAUGUUAAAGGGCUAACCCUUGCAGCUUGUGUAAUGUAUCGUCAGCCAGCUCCCAAGGGGAAUUGAAUGUGAGACAAACAUGAGCCCGGCCAGUAACUAAUUGUCUGAAGGUUACUAAAUUUAAACUAACAUUCUCACAAUGUCAUAUUCCUUGCAAGUGAUUUUGGAUUUUAUCCCACUUUUUAUUCGGAUUCAUUAUACCUUAAAGGAGUAACGCAAACAUACCAAAGCCAGCUGGACACUGUAAUGUCUUUAACUGAAGUUGUAUUGUUUGAACUGUAUCUCCUAAGUGUUACUACUACAGCCUCUAAUGCAUUUAAUUUAGCUUCUAGGGUUGUAUUUAUAUGUAACAUCUUGUGUUGCCAAAGCUAUAGAGGUAUCGCAAGCAAGCUGAUUGCAAAAUAGGUAGUUUGCAUUUGGAAGCAAGGGCCACAGUGGAAGGAGCUGCAGAUGCUAUAGCAGUGACUACUGUAAAACUGGUGGCUAAAACGAAGACUAUACCCAAUUAGAGGGGGAACAAUUGGUACAAGUAACAUUGAAACAUCUCCACAUUUUAAAAUAUAAGGUCUCCGGUUCGGUGACAUAUAUGAAGGGUUUAAUAGGCAGUGAGUCUAAACAUGAAAGAAUGUUCAUGCUAGAGUUAUCUUUUCCAGAAGUCUCACAGAUGGUCAUAGUGUCCAGGGCUGUGGCUAACAGCCAAAGGUCUGGCUGAACGUUUCCUCUGGAGACAUUAUAGCAGGGCAUGGCUAAUGAGGAGAACCUAGGAGGUUACCUUCAUCCAGACUGGGUGGGUGCCUCCAAGGCAAGUCAACCAGCAAUUCAGGUCAUCUACCCAGAGACACAAAGUUCUUUAGAAGUGUGCAUCAUUCCACCCAAGAGGGAAUUCUAAAGCCAGGCACCAGAUUCUCACUGCACAGAGGGAAAUGUCUAUCUAACAAGGUAACCUGUGAGUGAUCAGAAACCAGAAAACUCAAGUGAGAAUGAGUUGAUGAUAUUGAAAACCUGCACAUCAAAUCCUUGCCAGACCCCAAAGCCAAAGUCCUGUGGGUCACUCAGAUGAGAGGGAUAUAUAUGUACUGACUCACUAACGACAAACCAGUUGGAAUACUGGAUGUCAAAGAGAGGGUGAGAAACCUUCAGAUCAAUUACCCCAGUCUGAGGAUUUAUAACUAUUAUAUAAUAUUUUAAUAGCGAGUUAUUUUAAAGUAAAAUUUGAUUUGACAUACAUUAUAGCCAGCUGUCCAUAAUUGUUAAUCAUACACUUUAUAAAGUUAAAUAUCUUAUGUAUAAGUGUUAUCCUCUUUCUAUAUUAUACCUUCUGCUAUUCUUUAACUUAUUUGGACGUUUAUAAUUUAUAAAAGUCUUUUAGUUAUUCAUUUUGUAAGCAUAUAUCAUCUCGAUCCUUAUAUAUAAAUUCUUACUUAUUAAAAUAAUUUUAAUCAUUAUGUAUUUUUAUUAAGAUAAUUUUUAUUUCUAUCCUUAUAACAUUUUUAUUUUUAAUGUCAUAUCUUUUUAUCCUUAAAACAUUAAAAAAUAUUUUAAACCAUAUCUUUUUAUAAUUGUAUAGUUAUAUCUCCCCUUUAUUAAAACAAAAUUGGUUGGGA